rnacentral:ncRNA from 1 species
UUAUUUAAGAGUUUGAUCCUAGCUCAGGAUGAACGCUGGCGGCGUGGAUAAGGCAUGCAAGUCGAGGGGGCGCAUCACCGUGCGCACGAGACGUGCGCAGAGGUAAGAGAUAUGAAUUAAGAAAUAGGAUUUAAGAAAAAUCUGCUUUGCAGAUUUUGAUUCUUAAAAUCUUAUUUCCUAAAUCUUAAAUCUUGUUUCUGCGUUCGCGUUUCGCGAAUGCGGUGAUGCGCCACCGGCAGACGAGGUAGUAACACGUAGGAACGAACCCCGUAGUCAGGAAUAAUCCGACGAAAGUCGGACUAAUACUUGAUACACUCGCGAGAGGAAAGAUUUAUCGCUAUGGGAUCGGCCUGCGAAGUAUCAGCUAGUUGGUAGGGUAAUGGCCUACCAAGGCUUUGACGCUUAGGGGCGCUGAGAGGCGAACCCCCACCGAUGGGACUGCGACACGGCCCAUACACCUACGGGUGGCUGCAGUCGAGAAUCUUCCACAAUGGACGAAAGUCUGAUGG